UACAGAGGCCUCGAGCGUUAGGCGGAAUCACUGGGCUUAAAGCGUGUGUAGGCGGACUUCUAAGUACCUUGUGAAAUCCCACGGCUCACCCGUGGAACUGCUUGGUAUACUGGUUGUCUUGAGCCUUCUAGGGGCGAGUGGAACAAAUGGUGGAGCGGUGAAAUGCGUAGAUAUCAUUUGGAACGCCCAUGGUGAAAACAACUCGCUGGGGAAGUGCUGACGCUGAGACACGAAAGCCAGGGGAGCGAACGGG
rnacentral:rRNA from 1 species